rnacentral:lncRNA from 1 species
AAUUUAUUUUAAUUUAACUUUUAUAUUUUUUAUUAAAAUUUAAUAAAAAUGAUAAUAAAUUAAAAACACAUAUUUAUAUUAAAGAAAAAAAUUUAAGCUCCUUAUGUUCAUGUUAGUAUAUAGGGGGUCAAAUGGUUAUAAUCUCAAACCUAUCUCUAUUUCUUCUUCUCAUCACCCACUCUCUCUCUCGCUCUCUAUCUCUCUCUAUAACUUGUUCUCGGUGCAUACCCAUCUCCAUCUCUCAGGUUAUGUUUGUUUCACCAUAAGUAGGGAGGGGGGAAGUGAUUUUCGGUAAAAACUAAUCACUUUCGCUGUUUGGAAACUUAAUUACAGUAAUUUUUUGGGUUACUCUCUCUCUCCCUCUCUCCUUUCCCCUCCCCUCUCAACUCAACAUUCAUCUCUCUUUUUCUCUGCAAACACCAAAAAAAAAAAAAAUCUAUCUUUUUUUCCCCUUCACCCCGGAUCAUUGCCAAGUCAACUCCUCCAUCUCCUUCGUCCCUAGAUCAUUUCGAGCCCACUCCUCCAUCUGUGGUGACUAUCAGGUUCAUAUUGUUCAUCUUCUUUUUUUUUCACAUUUUGCUUCUUCAACCCUUUCCCCUCUCUCUCACCACUCAUCUUCUUCCAUCUCAGAUCUCGUAUUCCAUCCCCUUCCAUUUCGCCAGUGACAAGAUUUGCAAAUAGAUAUUUUAUUUUGUUUAUUUUUUUAAUUUACUGCAGUUUUUAAUUUUUUUUAUUUACCGUAAUUUUUAUAUUUUUGCUCUGAUUUUUAAAAGAUUUAAGAUUUAGUAUUAUAACUAAUCAUUUUUCUUUUUCUUUUUUUUGGUUUAUAGUAUACACAUGUGUGAUCAUAAUCUUACACUAUUUAAAUUGAGAGAACAUUCCAUACACGUGGCAAUCGGGGAGGUGUUUUGAUACACGUGGCAAUCAGGGGCGUUCCCCCCUCUCUCCCAAAACCCCUUCCCUAAACCGACCGCACCCUCUCUACCCAAACCCCUUCCCUAAACCGACCGCACCUCUCCAAACCUAUUCCCUGAACCGACCGCACUUCUCUCUCUCUUUUGCCGUCUCUCUGCCUCCUUCUCUCUCUCCUCCUCCCUACAUCUCUCUCUACCCUCCUGAACCGAACGCCAGCCCUCUCCCCCGAAACCCUUCGCUCCCUCUCACUCUCUCCUAAACCGAACACCCAUCUCUCUCCUUCUCUCUCUCUCGCGCCGUCUCUCUACAUCCCUCUCUCUCUUCGCCCCGCUCUCUAUCUCUACCAUCUAUGCUCCUCUGUCACACUCAACCGAUCGACCCUCUCUCUCUCUUCGGUCCUGGGCUCUGCUGCUCUCUCUCUACCAUCUCUGGUCCUCUCUUACGCUCAACCGAUCGCCCCUCUCUUUCUCUCUCUUCGAUCCUGGAGAGAACAGUGUGGAUCCUCUC